UACACUCCUACGGGAGGCAGCAGUGGGGAAUAUUGCACAAUGGGCGCAAGCCUGAUGCAGCCAUGCCGCGUGUAUGAAGAAGGCCUUCGGGUUGUAAAGUACUUUCAGCGGGGAGGAAGGCGAUAAGGUUAAUAACCUUGUUGAUUGACGUUACCCGCAGAAGAAGCACCGGCUAACUCCGUGCCAGCAGCCGCGGUAAUACGGAGGGUGCAAGCGUUAAUCGGAAUUACUGGGCGUAAAGCGCACGCAGGCGGUCUGUCAAGUCGGAUGUGAAAUCCCCGGGCUCAACCUGGGAACUGCAUUCGAAACUGGCAGGCUAGAGUCUUGUAGAGGGGGGUAGAAUUCCAGGUGUAGCGGUGAAAUGCGUAGAGAUCUGGAGGAAUACCGGUGGCGAAGGCGGCCCCCUGGACAAAGACUGACGCUCAGGUGCGAAAGCGUGGGGAGCAAACAGGAUUAGAUACCCCAGUAGUCCCAUGAU
rnacentral:rRNA from 1 species